rnacentral:lncRNA from 1 species
CUCUCUCUCUCUCCUCUCUCUCUCUCUCUUCCCCGCUCCUCUCUCUUCCCUCUCUCUCUCUCUCUUCCCCGCUCCUCUCUCUUCCGCUCUCUCUCUCUCUCUUCCCCUCUCCUCUCUCUCUCUCUUCCCCUCUCCUCUCUCUCUCUCUUCCCCUCUCCUCUCUCUCUCUCUUCCCCGCUCCUCUCUCUCUCUCUCUUCCCGCUCCUCUCUCUCUCUCUCUUCCCCGCUCCUCUCUCUCUCUCUCUUCCCCGCUCCUCUCUCUCUCUCUCUUCCCCGCUCCUCUCUCUCUCUCUUCCCCGCUCCUCUCUCUCUCUCUCUCUUCCCGCUCUCUCUCUCUCUCUCUCUUCCCCCUCUCCUCUCUCAGCUCAGAGACUGUGUCCUGUAGACAGUAUUCCUGGCUGUUCUGACUGUUUUUUUAAAGCUCGUCUCUGAUCACAGAGUGAAUCUAACUAAACUUCUACAGCCCCGGUGAGGGGUGUGUGUGUGUACUAAGCAGGGAUUUUGCACAUGCUCAUUUAGCUGUGACUGUUGCUUCACCGUUAGUCCUUAGCUGGAGACGACUCCACUGUCCGGUACACUGUGUCCCUCCUCCCGUUACCGGCCACAACUUCUGAGGUCACUGCUUAGGACCCUGACCUAUGACCCUGACACACAGCAACCCCGAGGUCAACGUGUAUAUGAACUUUAACCCCUGAGGUCAGCGUGUAUAUAUGAACUGGUGACCGGAGUGGAUCAACUUUCUCAGAAAGAGGGAGAGACGGUGUUUAUUUGGGAGUGAAAGACACAAGGGAUUUGGUUUCUGUUGACAUCUGUUAUUGUACAACUGUCUGGAGUUCAUUAGGGCCCCCCUGUCUGGAGUUCAUUAGGGCCCCCCCCUGUCUGGAGUUCAUUAGGGCCCCCCCCUGUCUGGAGUUCAUUAGGGCCCCCC